ACUACACCCAACGAGCCUCGUUCACCCUGGAACUUGAUUGACGUGACAAAAUCUUGGGCUUGAGGCCCGAACCCUGGAUGCCUUAAUAAGCAAGGCUUUGAUGGGUCUGGAGAGGGAGGGAGUGUAUUUUGCAUAGAGCUAGUGGCUGGAAUAAUCUGCAGACGCACCCGCGUGUUGAGGUUGAGAAGACCGACCAGUUGGGGGACAGUCCCUGUGGGGCUUGUCUGUCUCUCUGUGGCCUCCUUACACAGGCGUGUUUAGCACAGAAUCUUCAGGUUGGUGAGAUUUCUUUCAUGUCUGCCUUGUCCUCCUCAGGUGUAGGUGGCCCUGGCCUCACAAGCUAUACGGUGUCAGUUCUACCACAUUCUAUCAGAAGUGGAGUGACUAUGGCUGGCCAAUAUUCACGGGGAUUAGAGUUCACCUUUUUUAUGGGAGGGGUUAUCAGGAAGUUGCAAUGUUUUUUUUUUUUUUAUUUUUCUAAUGUUUAUUUUGAGACAGAAAGAGUGUGAGUGAGGGAGGGGCCGAGAGACGGAGAGAGGGAAUCUCAAGCAGGCUCCGCACGGUCAGCCUGACGUGGGGCUACAUCUCAUGAAUCCAUGACCUGAGCCGAAACCAAGAGUUGGAUGCUCCGCCGACUGAAUCAUGCAGGUGCCCCAAGAAGUUGCAAGGUGUAUUAUUUUGUUGUUGUUGUUGUUUUAAGGUUAUUUAUUUUGAGAGGAGGGUGGGUGGAGAGAGAGAGAGGGAGAGAAUCCCAAACAGGCUCCACACUGUCAGUGCAGAGCCCAGCGUGGGGCUUUAUCCCACAAACCAGGAGAUCGUGAGUGACCUGAACUGAAACCAAGAGUUGGACACUCAUCUAAAUGAGCCACCCAGGCGCCCCAAGAAGUUGAACAUUUUUUAAAACUACCACACACGCUAAAUUGCAAGGGAGGCUGGGGAAUGGAUUCUGUAGCUUAGCGUUGACCGCAAGCUACGAUUUAGGGGAAUUCUAUUAUAAAAGGUCAAAGAAGAAAAAGGACAAAUGGUCAAAGGGCAGAUCCCCAGGGGAUGGUUAGCAGUCUCUGCCCCAGGCAGCUUUGCAAGAGAUUAAAAUCAAAGCCAGGUUGUCACAGCCGAAGAGAUUAUGAGCAGGGCGGAAGGUCAUUUCAGGCAAGAGAAGAAUCUGUGUGGACGGAUACCUGGAAAAAGGACUGAGGGGGUCACGUGUGUCUGUCUACAUCAGGGGAAGCUGGUGAUGGCACAGUGGUAAAUGAGGGGCGUGUCCACAUAAAGAAAAAAAGAAAGGAUUUGGAUUUUCGGGUAGCUUUGUGAGAGAAGCAAGCUUUCAGACAAACUUGGAUAUGAAUGCUCUGUCCCCUGUAGUUUUGUCAUUUUUCUGCCAAGUGUGCUUAGAUUAUAAAAGUGGCUGUAAUUCUUCAACCUCGAGUGACUUUGCAGCAACUUCCAUCAUGAUACGGAGGGGCGCCUGGGUGGCUCAGUCUGUUGGGAGUCCAACUUUGGCUCAGGUCAUGAUCUCGCAGUUCGUGAGUUCGAGCCGCCCAUCGGGAUCUGUGCUGACAGCUCGGAGCCUGGAACCUGCUUCGGAUUCUGUGUCUCCCUCUCUCUCUGCCCCUCCCCUGCUCAUGCUCUGUCUCUAUCUCAAAAAUAAGUAAAACAUUAAAAGAAAAAAAAAAGAUAUGGAGUCUGGUUCCCCACCUCUUGGCUCUGGUCUGGCAUUGGGUCUGGCUUUGGCCAGUAGAAUGUCGCAGACGUGACAGUGUGCCAGUUUUGAGCGUAAGCCCCAAGAGGCUCUGCCUAUACCUACUCGCUUUCACGAGACCUUGCCAAAUGCCGAGAAUCAGCCAAGGCCAGCUGACCGCGACCGAGAGAGAGAUCACAUGGAACAGAGCUCAGCCCUGUCACUGAGGCCCCAGACACAUGAGAAAGCUGAGGCAGCAUCCACAGAGUUGACCCGGAUGCAACCGAACUAAGUCAUGAAUAAGCCCAGCUCCAACUGAUGACCUAUAGAAUCGCGACCUGAAUAAAUUGUUGUUUCAGCCACUGAAUGCUGGAACGAUUUGUUGCAUAGCAAAGCUGUUAGAGCAAGUUAAAGAACCUGCUUUCUGGAUCUCAGGAUCCUUAGGGUAAACACGGGUUUGCUAGCACCUCCACCAUGGCUACUGGGAGGCCACGAUGGGAGGGAGGAUGGUACGCGAAGCCUGAAACAGAAUGUUCUGAGCAAAUGGUACGCUAAUGUCAUGGAUCACAUCAGAGAAAGAUGGUCCAGGGAAAGACACAAUGAGAGUAAAAGGAGGCAUUACUUAGAAAUCCCCAUUCUGCUCAUUUCUGUCUCCUGGAUUUUCCUCGGUCGUGUGUUCUACUGGCUUGUGCUCACGUAUCACAAAUCUGCAUUUUUCGGCUCUGCUGUCUUUGAAAACUCCCACCCUCACACUCUCACUUUCUGGGCCCCUUCGACACAUUAGCAGGUGGUCCGAUUAGAGUCAACUUGUUUCAUCUAUUUAUACCUUUUACCCCCCAACUUGUCUCCAAGCAAUUAAGACAAUUUUUCUAUUUCCUUUGCAAACCCCACUGAGAUUGUGUGUGUGUGUGUGUGUGUUUUAACCCAAAUAAGAAUUUAGUAAAUAUUUAGUAAAUUAAAGUCAACUAAAUUAUGUUGGGGUUGGUGUCGAUCAUUGGGGUUACCUUAUUUCUAAUCAGGAGGCCUGUUACCUUUGCUCAAUGUCAAGUAAACUUACAGAGAACAGUUCCCCCAAGAGAUCAGAGUUACCAGAAUCCCUCAUUUUCCUUUCUGGCACGUCUUGAGGGAUUGAUGAGAAUUCUAAUUCGGCAACUAGUUCCCACUGGCAAUGUCUGGAUGCCUAGGGGGAGUCGACCCUGUUUAGGUUUCAAGCCACUAAUCAACUGUAAUCCUGUUCUUACUUGAAAGGGAAACGAAGUCUCUGGGAAAACUAAAGAUAGGAACAAAUGAUACACUUUGAAAACCUCUUUAAUUUUCCCACAGAAACUUUGCCCCACACAAAGUGCUUAAAGCUUUCUAAGUAUCUUUUUACUUGCUUUAGAGGUUUUCUUGUGAAGAAGAUGCAACUUUCUUAUUGAAAAAUUGUUGACUGAUGUGUCCUUUCUGCGGUGUGCAGGACCAAGCUUUCGGAGCCAACCACACAUCCCAUCCAGCUCCACAUUGUGAUGUCACCUUGGAGCCUGAAACGAGCCAUGGUGGGAAUGAUGGACGCCAUGAAAACCGGCCAACACUACAAAGCGGGACUGUUUUCCUCAGGGAGAGCCGGUGGCUAAACAUUUGCCAGCACAUCCCUGCCUAAGCUCCAGGUACCUGGGAAUUACAAAUUACAGCUUUCCUCCUCUUGAGCACAAACACAAAGCUUCACCAGGAAAACAUCAGGCACCUUUCUCCCUGCCGGGCAGACUACUCUUUAGUGGGGGAGCCCAUAGAAUGGGGACAAAAUGAAAUCAUGACCAAGGUCUGUGCUGAGUAGGGAAGAGGGUGGCGUGAGACAAGGCGAGAGGCAGGCAGGACGGAGAACACAGCCCUGGAGUAGAGAUUCGUAUGUUGGUGAGACAAAGUUAUAGGAGAGCUUUUAGGAGAGGGAUGCCUUUGGGUACUUUAUAAGGAUCCCUCCAGAUGUCUGGUCUGUCAACAGCAUAUAUAGGGGGGAGGGUUACUUAGAAAUCCCCAUUCUGCACCUGAGGUGGUAGAACACAGAGGCCAGUGAAGAUGCUGUCUGGAGCUAGGAUAAGGGAGUUGGAGCAUGGCUCCUGACCUUUGCCCUAACAGCCGCCCCACACCAUCUCCUCCCCCAUGCCUGCGCUUGGGCUACUUCCAGGGCCUUCCGCCAUCCUGCAAGGCCAGCUUAAGACCCAGCACUCCCUCACCUGCAGUCUUCCCUGGCCAUCCCGGUCACAUCUCUACCUGCUCUGGACAGGCAUGACGCUGGAUUUCUUGGGCCAUGUGAAGGGAGGACAGUGCCGCUCUCCUGGAGAGGCUUUCGUCCGUAUGCUGAUGGCUCGAGUAGAAAUGAGAGAUGAUGCUGAGCCAGUCUAUGCUGAUGAGGACGUGCAGGGAGAGAAGGGAAGCAGAGGGCUCGUUCAAAAUAGCGGACAAGAAAUGCUUGAAGCAAGAACCUCAAAACUGGGGGCUCUAGUCCUUGUAUAAAACGUGGAAGCAAAAUCCUAAUUAUAACGGACCAUUGUGAUCCCGUUCUGUGGUUCUGCAAAAUGUUACUAUUGGGGAAACCAGGCGAAGGGUAUCUGGGUCUGCCUGUAUGUGUUAAUACAGCUUCGUCUGCAUCUGUACCCCUUCUAAUAACACAUUAAAACAAAGGAAGCCGCUGACCUGUAAAGGCCUAUGUGUAGAGACCUGUGUUCUGGCUUUGGUGCUGCUGCAGUGCCUAAGUUGAGGCACUCUGCCUUCC
rnacentral:lncRNA from 1 species